rnacentral:tRNA from 1 species
GGCUCCAUAAUGUAGUGGUCAGCAUGUCUGCUUUACACGCAGAAGGUCCUGGGUUUGCAUCCCGGGUGGAGCCA